rnacentral:rRNA from 1 species
AAGUCGUGCGAGGAGAGGAGCUUCGGGGUGUGAGUAGAGCGGCGAACGGGUGAGUAACACGUAAGCAAUCUACCGUCCAAGUAUGGAAUAACCUUGCCAACGCAUGGCUAAUGCCGGAUGUCGUCCAGGCUUCUCAUGUGGCCUGGAUGAAAGGUGACCUCUACAUGUAAGUUGUCGCUUGGAGAUGGGCUUGCGUGCCCAUUAGCUUGUUGGCCAUGGUAACGGCCUACCAAGGCUACUAUGGGUAGCCGACCUGAGAGCGGUGAUCGGUCACAUUGGGACUGAGAUACGUGCCCAGACUCCUACGGGAGUGCAGCAGUAGUGGAAUUUUGCGCAAUGGACGAAAGUCUGACGCAGCAACGCCGCGUGAGGGAUGAAUGCCUUCGGGUUGUAAACCUCUGUUGGAUGAGAAGAAAAGCUUGAUGGCUAAUAUCCAUCAGGUAUGACGGUAUCGUACGAGGAAGCUCCGGCUAACUACGUGCCAUCAGCCGGGGUAAUACGUAGGGGGCAAGCGUUGUUCGGAAUCACUGGGCGUAAAGGGAGCGUAGGCGGGAAGGUAAGUUAGGAGUUAAAUCCACAGGCUCAACCUGUGAUCUGCUUUUAAUACUGCCUUUCUUGAGUAUGGGAGAGGGUGAUGGAAUUCCAGGUGUAGCGGUGGAAUGCGUAGAUAUCUGGAAGAACACCAGUUGCGAAGGCGGUCACCUGGCCCAAUGCUGACGCUGAGGCUCGAAAGCUAGGGGAGCGAACAGGAUUAGAUACCCUGGUAGUCCUAGCCGUAAACGAUGGACACUAGUUGUUGGAGGAGUCAAUCCUUUCAGUGACGAAGUUAACGCAUUAAGUGUCCCGCCUGGGGAGUACGCUCGCAAGGCUGAAACUCAAAGGAAUUGACGGGGGCCCGCACAAGCGGUGGAGCAUGUGAUUAAGUUCGAUGCAACGCGAAGAACCUUACCUGGGUUUGACAUGGGAGUGAAAUUCUGUAGAGAUACGGACCCUUCAUUCGGGGACAAUUUACACAGGUGUCGCAUGGUCGUCGUCAGCUCGUGUCGUGAGAUGUUGGGUUAAGUCCCGCAACGAGCGCAACCCGUACCCUUAGUUGCCAGCGAGUAAUGUCGGGAACUCUAGGGGGACUGCAUGAUAUAACCAGGAGGAAGAUGGGGAUGACGUCAAAUCAUCAUGGCCCAUACGCCCAGGGCUAGACACGUGCUACAAUGGCCGGUACAACGGGAUGCGAGUCCGCAAGGGUUAGCCAAUCCCUUA